ACGGAAGGCAGCAGUGGGGAAUAUUGCGCAAUGGGGGAAACCCUGACGCAGCGACGCCGCGUGAGUGAAGAAGUAUUUCGGUAUGUAAAGCUCUAUCAGCAAGGAAGAAAAUGACGGUACUUGACUAAGAAGCUCCGGCUAAAUACGUGCCAGCAGCCGCGGUAAUACGUAUGGAGCAAGCGUUAUCCGGAUUUACUGGGUGUAAAGGGAGCGUAGACGGCAAAGCAAGUCUGAAGUGAAAUCCCGGGGCUCAACCCCGGAACUGCUUUGGAAACUGUUUAGCUAGAGUGCAGGAGAGGUAAGCGGAAUUCCUAGUGUAGCGGUGAAAUGCGUAGAUAUUAGGAGGAACACCAGUGGCGAAGGCGGCUUACUGGACUGUAACUGACGUUGAGGCUCGAAAGCGUGGGGAGCAAACAGGAUUAGAUACCCUGGUA
rnacentral:rRNA from 1 species